CAAGGAUGGUGGCUGGGGUUCAGUCUGCCGCUGCAAAUACCAAAAGCUGUCCUCAUUGAGUCAUCCCUCCCAGAGCAGGAAGAGCAGAGGUUCUGGGAAACAACCCCAAGGAGAGAGACAGGGCAUUUGUGAGCUGUGCAGCCUCCCUGCUGGGACAUAGGGAACUCUAGCUGGAGAUGAGCAGGGCCUGAGUCUGAGGGUGGCCCUGCUGAAAGCACAGUAAUAGGAGUUAUAAUCAGCUAAGAGCAGGAAAUCUACUUUAUUUUUCUAAUGUUAUUCUUUGCUUUCUAGAUAAAACAGCAUGUAAGCAUCUCUGCAGUUGCUGUCCCCAGAGCCCACUUCCUGGAUAUUGCCAGCUGCCUGGACCAACCUUUCCGAAAGAUCAGCCAGGUCACAGUGAGGGUCAAAGCAGGAGGCCACUGGAGGCUCCAAGGGCUCUGAAAUGUUGAGAACUUCCCUGCAGGUACCAGCGAAGAGGGCAAGAACACAGCACUACUUCCUUGGAUACUGUUUCCCUCCUCAGAGGGGUUUUCUGAGCUGCCCUGGGUCCUGUGAGGAAGAUCUCCCCUUCCUGUAAAGACACCAGUCCUACUGGAUCAGGGCCCACCCGUGUGACUUCACUUUUACUUGAGUACCUCUCACAGACCCUAACUCCAAAUCAGGUCACUUGCUGAGGUACUGCAUGUGAAGACUUUGACAUUUGAAUUUUGAGGGGGCCACCGUUUAACCUGAACCACCAAGGACAGAGCCAAAGACCCUGGGUGACAGGCCCAGAACAGGACCUGGUGGAGGCUCUUCUUUAGGGGAGAGAGGGAAAUGGGAGCCACCACUGGCAGAGCCUGAAGGCAGGGCAGCCAGAAAGAAGCUGUGGGAGUCCCCACCAUGGAAGACCCUGCCGAGCAUCCUGUGUCUCCUGAAGCAGACCCUGACAUGAGGACUGGGGGCACGUGUUUAUUAAGGGCGAUCCCCGGAAGGAGGAGAUAACCAGGCAGAAGUCCUAGCAGAGUAUGCCCACGCUGGUUAGUGCUGCUGCAAAGAUGAGCCGAAGACCAUGAGAGACCUCCAGGUGGUCCUUCUGGGGAGAAGAAAUGGGUUUUGGCCCCAAAUCCUUCUGCUGCAUUUUUCCCCUAUCCCUGGGAAGCCAUGAGACCUCAAACCUGUGUUCCCAAGGAGGCGAGCUGCUGUUCCCAGGUGAUGAUAUGAUGUGCUUGGGGAAAGUAAGUGGCUGCCAGACAUGGCUGAGAGCUGUUGUCACUGCCGUCAAGUGCAUGUCUCCAAGCCAUAUCACACGGCGUCCCUCGAUGUGAGGCCACAUGGCAAGUGGGCCGUGGAUCUCCCUCUGCCCUUUGCAAGCACGUAAGACAGCAGAUUUUGCAGAUACCUUGUGGCGCAGGGGAAUUUCCUUUGGCCAGGUCUGAAGAAAUAAAGCAGCAGGCACCGAGAACAAAGCCAAGGCUUUCAAAAGACAAGGAGCCAAAAAACUUACUCAAAAUAAAAGUAGUUUUAAAAUGUCUCUGCCA
rnacentral:lncRNA from 1 species